rnacentral:ncRNA from 1 species
AACAUCAGAGAUGAAAACACAGUCCCCGUCGGGUAGUCGUGGGCGUGCGGUUAUGCCGCAUCAGUAACCUGCCUCCUUGGUUGUCCCUUCUCUGCAUGGUUUAU